rnacentral:rRNA from 1 species
GACGAACGCUGGCGGCGUGCUUAACACAUGCAAGUCGAACGGAAAGGCCCUGCUUUUGUGGGGUGCUCGAGUGGCGAACGGGUGAGUAACACGUGAGUAACCUGCCCUUGACUUUGGGAUAACUUCAGGAAACUGGGGCUAAUACCGGAUAGGAGCUCCUGCUGCAUGGUGGUGGUUGGAAAGUUUCGGCGGUUGGGGAUGGACUCGCGGCUUAUCAGCUUGUUGGUGGGGUAGUGGCUUACCAAGGCUUUGACGGGUAGCCGGCCUGAGAGGGUGACCGGCCACAUUGGGACUGAGAUACGGCCCAGACUCCUACGGGAGGCAGCAGUGGGGAAUAUGGCACAAUGGGCGGAAGCCUGAUGCAGCAACGCCGCGUGCGGGAUGACGGCCUUCGGGUUGUAAACCGCUUUCGCCUGUGACGAAGCGUGAGUGACGGUAAUGGGUAAAGAAGCACCGGCUAACUACGUG